rnacentral:ncRNA from 2 species
CCACAACCUCCUUGAGUGAGCGA